rnacentral:tRNA from 4 species
GCUCUCGUAGCUCAGGGGAUAGAGCACCGCUCUCCUAAAGCGGGUGUCGCAGGUUCGAAUCCUGCCGGGAGCACCA